CCUACGGGUGGCAGCAGUGAGGAAUAUUGGUCAAUGGGCGCUAGCCUGAACCAGCCAAGUAGCGUGAAGGAUGACUGCCCUAUGGGUUGUAAACUUCUUUUAUAAAGGAAUAAAGUGCGGUACGUGUACCUCUUUGCAUGUACCUUAUGAAUAAGGAUCGGCUAACUCCGUGCCAGCAGCCGCGGUAAUACGGAGGAUCCGAGCGUUAUCCGGAUUUAUUGGGUUUAAAGGGAGCGUAGGCGGGUUGUUAAGUCAGUUGUGAAAGUUUGCGGCUCAACCGUAAAAUUGCAGUUGAUACUGGCAUUCUUGAGUACAGUAGAGGUAGGCGGAAUUCGUGGUGUAGCGGUGAAAUGCUUAGAUAUCACGAAGAACUCCGAUUGCGAAGGCAGCUUACUGGACUGCAACUGACGUUGAUGCUCGAAAGUGUGGGUAUCAAACAGGAUUAGAUACCCUAGUAGUC
rnacentral:rRNA from 1 species